GAUGAAGAACGCAGCGAAAUGCGAUAAGUAAUGUGAAUUGCAGAAUUCCGUGAAUCAUCGAAUCUUUGAACGCACAUUGCGCCCUCUGGUAUUCCGGAGGGCAUGCCUGUCCGAGCGUCAUUGCUGCCCUCAAGCACGGCUUGUGUGUUGGGCCCCGCCCCCCGAUCCCGGGGGGCGGGCCCGAAAGGCAGCGGCGGCACCGCGUCCGGUCCUCGAGCGUAUGGGGCUUUGUCACCCGCUCUGUAGGCCCGGCCGGCGCUUGCCGAUCAACCAAACUUUUUUCCAGGUUGACCUCGGAUCAGGUAGGGAUACCCGCUGAACUUAAGCAUAUCAAUAAGCGGAGGA
rnacentral:misc_RNA from 1 species